AUAACGCUAGGUUAUCUCCAGCAGUUGACACAUCAGAUUUUAAAAUGCAUAUGAGACUGCCAUGUCAUUAAAUGAAAAAACUGUGAAAACCAUUUAGAACAUUUUAUCUCUCCACGUAGAUUUUGUCUUCUUUGUUUGUAUCACCACUUUCAUCUAUCGAAGAUUUGUGAUCGGAAAUCAACACAAUCAUAUUAGUUCUUCGCUUUCUUUCUUCCUCUUUCGAUUGAUGAUCAGUCCCACCCCUAUUCGUCUGUCUCUUUGUCAAGUUUUGGUAACGGUUCCGCUUUCUUCCUCUUUCUUCCUCUUUCGAUUGAUGAUCUAGCCCUAGCCCAGUUUCUUCUUCGUCUGUCUCUUUGUCAAGUUUUGGUAACGGUUCCGCAACAAAGCUGAGAUUGGAAACAUUUGAGCAGACGGGAUGUGAUCUAGCGGUGUUUGCGGAUGGUUCAGAAAAUCGCACAGAUGGACACCAUGAACGGCCUUGACGUUUGGUUCAUGGACGCUAAUCCGGAUGCGCUCUCUCAAGCCACCACAGCUAUCUCCUCCUCCAUCAAUCGUUUUGUCUCCAAAGGUCCAAUCAUCAAGUCAAGAUUCGAUCAGUAAUCCUUAAAAGAAUCUACUUUCCUCCUGGAAAUCUAUAUUUACAAACAUGAGAAAGUUAUCAGGUCUUGGACUCUCCUGGAUCACUAGGAUACUCGCUUGAUAAAUUGACUUCUGUUACUGAGUUUGAUUUAAGCAACAAGAACCUUGGAGGGGACUUGUCGUAUCAGCUUCCUCCAAAUGUUGAGAUUGAAUCUUGCUAAUAACCAGUUCACUGGAUCUGCUCCAUACUCCAUUUCUCAAAUGACACCCCCCCCCCCCCCCAAAUACUUUUAGAAAUACGGGACAAGAAGAAGACAAUUUACAGCCAUAUAAACAAGAGGUCAUAAACAGAGCAAUUACCAGUUGGCCUAGAAGCAAAUAUUUUAUGGAAUUAAGAAAAAGAGCAAUCACCGGUGGCCCAUACAGGACAAGAAAAAGACAGUUUACAGCCAUAGAAACAAUCGAUCAUAAAAGAGAUUUGUAUAGAAACUAACUCAUCAUCCUUUUUGUUAAACUUUUUUUUCAAAUGCUUAAAACCUGCUAAAUCAUCAAGAGGUCUCCCACAGAGAAGGAAUUGAAAGAGUAUUGGCUCAUUUGUUUUCUGUCAAAAUUCAUCAGAUCGAAGUGUGUAUAUACACUGAUUAUGUUACCGAAAGUGUGUGCAAAUCCAUUGUCAUAACAUUUUUCCUAUGAUUUUUUUUUCA